AAAUUAAAAUCUUAUUGAUUUAUAAAAUUUUAGAUUUGAUAAAAAAAGUGAUUUUUUAUUUUUAUUAAUGAGUAUGAAUAAAUUAAUUUAAUGAUAGGGAAUUUGUAUUGAGAAAGAUAGGUUUUAUUUUAUAAAAAGAAUAAUUUAUUUUUAGUACCUUGUGUAUCAGGGUUUAUUGAAAAAAAUUUAUGAAUUAGAAAUUUCUCGAACUUAAAAGAGCUAUACUGGUAUAAUUUUUAUUGUAGAAUAAAUAUUAUCAAUAUUGGUAUAGAAGUGAAAUAUUAUUCGAUUUUAAAUAUAUCUAGUUUUUAAAGAAAAAAAUUUAAUUUUAUUUCUAUUUAAGUAUUAAUUUAAAUUUGUAAAUUAAUAUUAGUAAGAUUUUAUACUCUAAGGGAUGAGCUUUAGAGUAAAUCAAUAAAAAUUAUUAUGAUUGUUUUUAAUAAGUAGAAUUAUUAGUUUUUGUCUUUUAUAGUGUUUUAUAACUAUUUAAAAAAAAAUAUUAUUUAUAUAAAUUUUAUUUAUUUUAUUUAAAUACAAAUUUUAAUUUAAUAAAUUUGGUAAUAAUGAUAAAAUUAGUAUAGUAAAUUGUUAAAUAGAUCUAAAUAUUUUAGGUUUUAUAAAGGAAUUCGGCAAAUGUAUUUUUCACCUGUUUAUCAAAAACAUGGCCUUUUGAUUUGAAUUUAAGGUCUGGCCUGCUCAAUGAAUUUUUAAUAGCCGCAGUAUCUUAACUGUGCAAAGGUAGCAUAAUCAUUAGUUUUUUAAUUGAAAGCUAGAAUGAACGGUCGAAUGAGAAAAUUUCUGUCUCUAUAAAAAUUUUAUAGAAUUUUAUUUUUAAGUUAAAAAGCUUAAAUAUGGGUAAAAGACGAGAAGACCCUAUAGAGUUUAAUAUUUAUUAAUUAUUUUUUUUUUUAGUAUUUUAAGAUUAAUAAUUUUAUGGUAUUUAAUUGGGGUGAUUGGAAAAUUAAUUAAACUUUUCUUAUAAAUAGACAUUUAUUUAUGAAAUUAUGAUCCUUUAAUAAAGAUUAUAAGAUAAAAUUACCUUAGGGAUAACAGCGUAAUUUUUUUUAAGAGUUCUUAUCGAAAAAAAAGAUUGCGACCUCGAUGUUGGAUUAAAAUAAAUUUUUGGUGUAGAAGCUAAAUUUAAUUGGGUCUGUUCGACCCUUAAUAUUUUACAUGAUCUGAGUUCAAACCGGCGUAAGCC
rnacentral:rRNA from 1 species